GAAGCACCAUCCCUGAGCCUCUGCUGGGCAUGCUCCAACUGGAAGUCAGGUAUAAAAGCCUGCAGAGCUGCUCAGUCAGGGCUGGCUGCUGAGGAAGAAGGACACUUGGCAGAGGCUCCAGCCCAGGAGCCGCUACAGCUCUUACCUAUGAGAGCCGAAGAACCAAAAACUUGGACCAGAAUCCCAAGAAGUGUCUGGUGCUAGGGAACCUGGAGACCCUGAUGCCAUAUGAGCUACUGCUGCCGGAGAACUGGAGAAGAUGACAUACUCGUCUCACAUGAGGAUGAAGAAAUAUUUUCCUGUCCAGCGGUACAUGAGGAGGAUGUGAGCUGAAACCUUGUCCAUCGGGCAUCCUCCACACUGGGACAGAGACUUUCCCAGAUUAGAAGGCAGAAAAAGAAGCCUCGGGAGGACAUGUUCAAUAAGUUAAUGCAUGCCUCCAAGCGUGACAAGACGGAGCUCAGAGCAUGGAGGAUUACACUGUCUGAGAACCUGAACAUGGACAGGGAAGACAGGAGAGCAUGCAAGGAACAAGAGCGUGCCAUGCAGAAAGAAAUGCUGCUGAUUAUGAAAGAGCAAUCAGACAUGUUGAGGCAUCCGGUUGAGGUUCAAGAAAGGCAGUUGGAUGCUAGAGUCCCUCUGUAGCCUAUGCUGAACUUUCUACCAUCAAUGCCUAGUUCCACAUCCUCCUCCCGCAAACAUCCCAUGAAGUGGGGCAGAGGUGGGGAAAGUUUGGUAUUCCUUGCACUCAACACCAGGGGAGGGUACAAGGACCAGAAGGUGCCCACCUUUGAUUGUUAUUGCAGUGCAUCUGUAAACAAGCUGUCCUUGUUUCUCCCUGCACAGUGUUAUCAGACCUUUUGCCCCUGGUUAUGUUACUAUUCUUUGCUGUCUCUGUGUGAUUGUAUGCAUAAUAAAACUGAACAGAUUGA